rnacentral:rRNA from 1 species
AUUGAACGCUGGCGGCAGGCCUAACACAUGCAAGUCGAACGGUAACAGGAAGAAGCUUGCUUCUUUGCUGACGAGUGGCGGACGGGUGAGUAAUGUCUGGGAAACUGCCUGAUGGAGGGGGAUAACUACUGGAAACGGUAGCUAAUACCGCAUAACGUCGCAAGACCAAAGAGGGUGACCUUCGGGCCUCUUGCCAUCGGAUGUGCCCAGAUGGGAUUAGCUAGUAGGUGGGGUAACGGCUCACCUAGGCGACGAUCCCUAGCUGGUCUGAGAGGAUGACCGGCCACACUGGAACUGGGCCACGGUCCAGACUCCUACGGGAGGCAGCAGUGUGGAAUGUUGCACAAUAGGCGGAAGCCUUAUGCAGCCAUGCCGCGUGUAUGACGACAGCCUUCGGGUUGUAAAGUCCCUUCAGCGGUGAGGAAGGGCGUAAAGUUAAUACCUUUGCUCAUUGACGUUACCCGCAAAAGAAGCACCGGCUAACUCCGUG